UCACUCUUGUUUCUCUCCAGAUCGCAUAAAUCUUUCGCCUUUUACUAAAGAUUUCCGUGGAUAGAAACCAUAAGAGUGUAACUACCAUUUUUAAUGCCCUCUGAAGCAGGGCUU